rnacentral:rRNA from 1 species
UGGGGAAUCUUGGACAAUGGGCGCAAGCCUGAUCCAGCCAUGCCGCGUGAGUGACGAAGGUCUUCGGAUUGUAAAGCUCUUUUGGCGGGGACGAUAAUGACGGUACCCGCAGAAUAAGCCCCGGCUAACUUCGUGCCAGCAGCCGCGGUAAUACGAAGGGGGCUAGCGUUGUUCGGAAUUACUGGGCGUAAAGCGCACGUAGGCGGAUCUAUAAGUCAGGGGUGAAAUCCCGGGGCUCAACCUCGGAACUGCCUUUGAUACUGUAGAUCUCGAGUCCGGAAGAGGUGAGUGGAAUUCCUAGUGUAGAGGUGAAAUUCGUAGAUAUUAGGAAGAACACCGGUGGCGAAAGGCGGCUCACUGGUCCGGUACUGACACUGAGGUGCGAAAGCGUGGGGAGCAAACAGGAUUAGAUACCCCAGUAGUCCCUGAGCGGGCUGGCAAGGCGCAU